UACGGAGGGUGCGAGCGUUGUCCGGAAUCACUGGGCGUAAAGGGCGCGUAGGUGGCGGGACAAGCGUGCGGUGAAAGCUCGGGGCUCAACCCCGAGUCGGCCGUGCGAACUGUUUUGCUUGAGCACUGUAGAGGCAGGGCGGAAUUCCGGGGUGUAGCGGUGGAAUGCGUAGAGAUCCGGAAGAACACCGGUGGCGAAGGCGGCCUGCUGG
rnacentral:rRNA from 1 species